rnacentral:rRNA from 1 species
UACGUAGGUGACAAGCGUUGUCCGGAUUUACUGGGCGCAAAGAGCGCGCAGGCGGUCGUUCAAGUCGAGUGUGAAAGCCCCCGGCUCAACUGGGGAGGGUCACUCGAUACUGAUCGACUCGAAGGCAGGAGAGGGUAGUGGAAUUCCCGGUGUAGUGGUGAAAUGCGUAGAUAUCGGGAGGAACACCAGUGGCGAAGGCGACUACCUGGCCUGUUCUUGACGCUGAGGCGCGAAAGCUAGGGGAGCAAACGGGG